UCUCAGAGAAGAGGAGACCACUCAUCAGGGCAACUGUGGAGCUGGAGGACGAUAGGAAGCAGUUCGAGAGCCUGGGAUGAAGCCUGGUGAGAUGAAGAAACUUGAUGCUUAAAGAAACUGGUGACAAAGGUGUUCUCAGUGGAGAACAGGG